rnacentral:lncRNA from 1 species
AAUUCAGUGUCAUAUAUGGAAAGCAUUCAAGAGUUGACAGAUGGCAAUGGCUUGAACACCCAACUGUGUUAUCUCUGCCCGUUGGAACCUAGGCCUGUGGUGCAACCCUAGACUCUCUCUCCUUCCCCUCCACAGAAUCAAGUAUCAGCUGGUUAGAGAUCCACACCCUGACAGCUCUGUGAUGUUGGAACAACUUGGUUCUUGCAGAGGGUUAGCAGGUGGUCACCAGGGAUCGGGGAGGAAGGGGUGUGGCUUGCAGGAAGGCGAAAAUCUGGACUAGCAAAUAGGGAAGGGGACCCAUGUGAGCAACGCUGGCCACUAGGAAUGAGACUGAGACCUGUGGGAUCUAGCAAGAAGCCCAGUGUGACCAGCGACACGAUCUAUGCUGGGGACCACUUGGGAGAGCCAAAAGCUUUGGUGGAGAUGAAUGGAGACCAUCAACCUAAGUUCAGCAUCCUCCUCUAAGCUUUGCAGAUGAAUCCUGAAAUGGUCAGCCCCUCCAGAGAAAAGAACAGCAACAGGCUCAGAGGACCCACAGUCCCCUUUAUUAGUGUAAAGUACUAAGAGGAAUCAACAGCAUUUAGCACCAGGCACAGGCUCGUGUUCCCCCGCCCACUACGGCUGUGUUCUGAUAUAUGAAGAAUGGCGGCAAGACUCCAACUCUGUUUUUGAAAAAUUUAUUUUAUACUCUUAGAAGCUAAGAACUUUGCCACACAUGAACCAAAUUUAGAAUUAAGGUUCUUCCCUAGUGUAUCUACUUCCUUUUGAAAUUUUAUAAACAAGAUUUUAUACACAAGAGGUAGCAGAGGAAAAUUCCAGUCUGCUUGUUCCAAGCUCAGAAGGUAACUGCACACACCUCGAUGUUAGCAGGGAAGGUGGGGCAGGACAGGGUAAGUCUGAUGAUACGGCACUCUAGUUCCUAAAACUGACUGUAGUUGUCAGUGACCGUGUGAGGACUCCAGGAGAAGUCGUGGUGAGAUGCCCGCUGGGAUGCUUGUUUUCUUUCCCAGGAUGCCUUCAACGGGCAGAAUCGGCCAUCUUAAGAUCGGCCUCACUAAGGGAGCUUCUUGAGAACACACAGCAUUAUUGAGUUAAUUGUGCAAUUCCUGCUCUGUUUGCAGACCAUUUUGAAAGGUUUAUAAAAACAUCUUCAUCCAAAAAAUUGGCAGUAAAAAUGACAACUCUUCCAAGGUAAGCCUGUCAUAACUGUCACUGUUGUACUACAUUAAAAAAAGUCAUCAGCAGGUUCAUUGACUGUAGCUGUCAGCAAUCAAGUGGUUACCAGCAAAGUGAAAACGAUGGUCAUUGCAGCAACAAUAUAAGCAACAUGAUCUGAAGCGUAUAAUAUACACGGUGGACGAUCCUGAUGAAGCUUUACAGUGAGGACGGCAGGUGCUAGGGGUGCGGAAGGCGUUGUUUCCAUAGGAAAUAAGGGGACUAGAAGUGGCAAUUUCACUCCUGAUUUUGGGCUCCUGAGAGUGCAGUCGCCAGCGAUGAUAUCCCAGUGUGGAUCAUCGCCAGCAUUUCAAGGUCAUGUCCCACACAAUCUCUUGGUGAGGAUGUGGGCGGAGAGAAGGUGAGAAUAGGGUAGGGGAAACAGUAGGACAGGAAGUAUUCACGUACUCAAAACCAAUGGUAGAACAUCACAUUUCAAACUGCAAGACCAUUGGAACCGUCUGAAGUUUGCCACUCGCCUCUGUCCGUUUCUCUAAGGGUACAGUUCUGCUCUUAAGUGCUGGCCCUUCCAUCUUCUCAGUGUGUUUGACAAAGGCCACUGCCAACCUCCAGCAAGUCACAGAAUAACAAUGAAGUCUGACAGCACAGAAACCCUCACUGCCAGAGAAUGAAAAGACUGGGCCAUGGCGAGAGCACAGUAAUGAGAUGCCAUCUGCCUGGCCACAUGCCCACACAAUGCCACAGCAGCCAGACAGGCACUUCAGGGCUGGCUGCGCCUCUGUGACUUGGCAAAUCUGACAGUGAAAACCUGGCACUUCCUAAGGCUCCCUAGUUCUGUGCAUGGUGAGAUGAAAAUAAGGCAGGACCUGUAACUAAAGGCAAAACAGGGCCGAAAAUGUGAGCAAUUCAAAAUACAAAAUGUACAAAAUAUAUAUGAAAUAUGUGGGUGUAAACCUCUCCCCCACACCAUAAAAGGGAGCUGGUAUAAAUGAGUGAAUGGUGCUAUACUUUGGAAAUACGACUAAAUGGAUGGUUAUUCAAUUGCUUUAUAUUUAUUUCUGGGAAAAUAAAUCUUAAACCUUGACUGACUUUUCAGUGUUAAUUAGUCAUGUUGAGGAGAAACAAAUUCUCAAAUUCCUUCUCUGCAUUACAAUAACUAUGAAACUCACAAGCAGUGUGUACCAACUCAAAUAGUUAACUUCAUAUACAACCAAUACCAAGGGUUUCAGUAAUUAUGUUUUAAGCAAAAGCAAACGAUUGCAGAUCACAUGAUUUAAGACUACAGUUUAUUCAAUAUGUCUCCAAGCAUUAAAAAGAUAAUUCUGUGAAGUUAAACUCAGUAAAAUUAUAUCUUAAAGUGCUUUUAUUUUGCUGUUUUUAAAAUCUGUUUGGGGAACAACUCAUAACUUCUUUAAGUAAUUGAUGUCAAAUAAUGCACCCUGUACUUCUGGAGAACACAGCAUUUUCAAAAUUGCUCUUUUCAAUCUAAUUAUAUCAGAAAAAUAUCUUCAAGAGCUUAGUAUUUCCCAAUUUUUGAUCCUGAUCCUGGUAACCUUUCAUCAAGAUCCAAGCUUAUGCAUAGGGUUCUCAUCUAGACCCAUCUGAAAUUCUAUACAAAUAGGGAGACAUAUUAAAUACAAAGGUCUGUGUAAAUUGACUUAAUUACUAUUUUACAAUGAAAAGGAAUUUUAUUACAUCUUUACAUCAUUUUAAAUUGGAUAUUCCUGUUUAAUAUUACUGCAAGAUUAAAAAUUUGCCCCCACAUAUCUAAAAGCAGCUUGCUUUUUCUUAAAAUAUAAAAACCAAAGGAAUUUCUUUUGUAGCAUCGUAGAGAAAGCAACAGCUUUAUGCUCACUCUUGUAUGUUCGUGUAACAAAAAAGUCUGCCACUGGCUCUAUUUCCGAAAAUCUCCACAGAAAUGUGAAUCCACAUAUAGACCACGCUCCCGGGACAGCUGAUCCACAUGCCGGAGUUCUCCCACUGCCAAACAGCUCCCAAACCUUCUAGUGGCUUAAAAAUGCUUUCCUUGAGAAAUACACGAUCCGCCCAAGUCACAGCAGCUUUCCCAGUCCAAUCUCCAGGCUCUUCCAAAGGGUUCGAGAUUCUGAUUCCAAGAAGGUGCUGAGCAUCCAGUAUUGUGUCUUGACUCCUCUCAGGCUGGGCAUGUUCCUCUAGGGAUCAACAUCAUCAAGGUCACUUCUCAACUCACCAAUCAUCAUGGGAGAUUCUGAACCCUGCAGAAAAGAAAAGGAAGUUAAAGUUCAUACGGUUAGAGAAAAGGUUUUCUAUGCUGACUUGUGUUCUGCAAUUUAAACAUGUCUUCAUCUGGCAACUUAAUGCAAUGUUUAUCAAAGGGUAAUAAAAUGUGAUAACUAUUACAUCUAA